GACGAACGCUGGCGGCGUGCUUAACACAUGCAAGUCGAACGGUGAAGCGCCUUCCUUUUUGGUGGGUGUGGAUGAGUGGCGAACGGGUGAGUAACACGUGAGUAACCUGCCCCCUUCUUCUGGAUAACCGCAUGAAAGUGUGGCUAAUACGGGAUAUUCUGGGUCUGUCGCAUGAUGGGUCUGGGAAAGAUAUUGUUUCGGUGGGGGAUGGGCUCGCGGCCUAUCAGCUUGUUGGUGGGGUGAUGGCCUACCAAGGCGGUGACGUGUAGCCGGCCUGAGAGGGUGGACGGUCACACUGGGACUGAGACACGGCCGAGACUCCUACGGGAGGCAGCAGUGGGGAAGAUUGCACAGUGGGCGCAAGCCUGAUGCAGCGACGCCGCGUGAGGGAUGGAGGCCUGCGGGUUGUGAACCUCUUUCGCCAGUGAAGCAGGCCUGCCUCGUUUGUGGGUGGGUUGACGGUAGCUGGAUAAGAAGCGCCGGCUAACUACGUG
rnacentral:rRNA from 1 species